rnacentral:rRNA from 1 species
UGUUAUUGAUUGGGCCAUGUGCCUAUAAAUCUUAAUACAACUUUCAACAACGGAUCUCUUGGCUCUCGCAUCGAUGAAGAACGCAGCGAAAUGCGAUAAGUAAUGUG